UACGAAGGGUGCAAGCGUUAUCCGGAUUCAUUGGGUUUAAAGGGUGCGUAGGCGGGCAAUAAGUCAGUGGUGAAAUCCUGCGGCUUAACCGUAGAAUUGCCAUUGAUACUGUUGCUCUUGAGUAGGCUCGACGUGGGCGGAAUGUGCCGUGUAGCGGUGAAUGCUUAGAUAUGGCACAGAACACCGAUAGUGAAGACAGCUCCACGAGGCCAA
rnacentral:rRNA from 1 species